rnacentral:rRNA from 1 species
AUUGAACGCUGGCGGCAUGGCUAAAACAUGCAAGUCGAACGCGAACGUUCCUUCGGGAACUAGUAGAGUGGCGAAAGGGCGAGGAAUGCAUUCCUAACGUACCCCAAGGUCGAGGAUAGCCCGGGGAAACCCGGAUUAAUACUCGAUGACCCCGUAGCGUCUUUUGGCGCAUCGGGCAAAGGCUUGCUGCCUUGGGAUCGGGGAAUGUCCUAUCAGGUAGUUGGUAAGGUAACGGCUUACCAAGCCUAAGACGGGUAGCGGGUGUGAGAGCAUGACCCGCCGCAUCGGGACUGAGACACUGCCCGGACUCCUACGGGAGGCUGCAGUAACGAAUAUUCCGCAAUGCGCGAAAGCGUGACGGAGCAAUGCCGCGUGCAGGAUGAAGCCCCUCGGGGUGUAAACUGCUGUCAGGGGCUACCAACACAAUGAGGAGCCCCAGAGGAAGGACCGGCUAACUUCGUGCCAGCAGCCGCGGUAAUACGAAGGGUCCUAGCGUUAAUCGGAAUCAUUGGGCUUAAAGGGUGCGUAGGCGGGCCUGUAAGUACUUUGUGAAAUCCCACGGCUUAACCGUGGAAUCGCUUGGUAGACUG